rnacentral:rRNA from 1 species
AGGGUUUGAUCAUGGCUCAGGAUGAACGCUGGCGGCGUGCUUAACACAUGCAAGUCGAACGAACCUUCGGGUUAGUGGCGGACGGGUGAGUAACGCGUGAGAAUCUGCCCUCAGGAGGGGGAUAACGGUUGGAAACGACCGCUAAUACCCCAUAUGCCUACUGGUGAAAUGAAUUUCGCCUGAGGAUGAGCUCGCGUCUGAUUAGCUAGUUGGUGAGGUAAUGGCUUACCAAGGCUUCGAUCAGUAGCUGGUCUGAGAGGAUGAUCAGCCACACUGGGACUGAGACACGGCCCAGACUCCUACGGGAGGCAGCAGUGGGGAAUUUUCCGCAAUGGGCGAAAGCCUGACGGAGCAACGCCGCGUGAGGGACGAAGGCCUCUGGGCUGUAAACCUCUUUUCUCAAGGAAGAAGAUAUGACGGUACUUGAGGAAUAAGCCACGGCUAAUUCCGUGCCAGCCGCCGCGGUAAUAC